UACAGAGGGUGCAAGCGUUAAUCGGAAUUACUGGGCGUAAAGCGUGCGUAGUCGGUUAUUUAAGUCGGGCGUGAAAGCCCCGGGCUCAACCUGGGAAUUGCGUUCGAUACUGGAUAGCUAGAGUUCGGCAGAGGGAAGCGGAAUUUCUGGUGUAGCGGUGAAAUGCGCAGAUAUCAGGAGGAACACCGGUGGCGAAGGCGGUUCUCUGGGCAUGUCCUGACGCUGAGGAGCGAAAGUGUGGGGAGCGAACAGG
rnacentral:rRNA from 1 species